rnacentral:rRNA from 1 species
CAACUGCAAUUGGUGGAUCACUCGGCUUCGAGUAUC